rnacentral:rRNA from 1 species
CAGUCGCCGCGGUAAUACGAAGGGGGCUAGCGUUGUUCGGAAUUACUGGGCGUAAAGCGCACGUAGGCGGAUAUUUAAGUCAGGGGUGAAAUCCCGCAGCUCAACUGCGGAACUGCCUUUGAUACUGGGUAUCUUGAGUAUGGAAGAGGUUAGUGGAAUUGCGAGUGUAGAGGUGAAAUUCGUAGAUAUUCGCAGGAACACCAGUGGCGAAGGCGGCUAACUGGUCCAUAACUGACGCUGAGGUGCGAAAGCGUGGGGAGCAAACAGGAUUAGAGACCCGCGUAGUCCCUGUCUCUUAUAC